AACACCACAGCAGUAAAAUCAAUAAAAAUUAACAAGCCUACUUUAAAACACAGAAAAGCUAAAAUAUUAAAAGAGAUUAAAAUUACUUCAGCUUCCUAAGCAUCUGACUAUGCUUGCCUAAACAAGAAUGCUUUUAGCAGGUGCCAGAAAAGAGUCUAGCAAAGGCACGCGCUUUAUUGCAAGAGGCGGGGAGUUCCAAAGGGCAGGUGCUGCCACACUAAACAACGCAGUGCUGGAAAGGGGGCGACAUGCAAGAGGCCAGCCUGGCAGGGUUGUGGAAGGAGGAGCUCCUGGGAGGAAAGGAGGUGCCGUGGAAAUGCCAUUCUGUCAGUAAAGUGCCUCCGCCUCUCACUCCUCCUCCAAACGAGAGCCAGGGGUGUGUGUAAACAUCUAGAGGGAGGGGGGAAAGUAUUUGAUCCCCUUCUAAAUUUGGGUUUUUUGCCCUCUGACGAAGAAAUGCCUAGUCCACAAUAUUAAUGGUCGGUUUAUUGUAGCUGUGAGAGACAGAAUAACAACUGGGAAACCCAGAAGACAAAAGUCAAAGAUUGAUGAGAUUUUUUUUGGGGGGGGGUUCUUGUUCCUACUUUUCUCUCUUUUAUUUAUUCCCAAUAUCAUCCCGAUCUUAAUCCUUUAUCUUAUCUUGACAGCCACUGGCAUGCAACUUUCAUCAUAUUUAACAGAUCUAUAUCUAAAUUAACAUGCAUGAUGAAAAUUGUGCUCUUCUUGUUGUUGUCCAUCAAUUGUUUUCGGUGCAGUCCCUCCUCAGAAGGCCCUAUUUCAUUCCACCAUCUUAUCUUCCAGGACUCUGGGCUGUCUUCCUGCUUUCCUUUGUUUAGUUAAAAUUAAGACACAUGUAAUGUAUUUUAACUGACUGAUAUUUUCCCAAACCGAAGAAUCUUCUGUAAGAGACCACACUGUGCGAUAGAUUUCACAGUUAAUACUUGUUUGGUUCCUCUAGAAUCCAAGCUUGCUCCCCCUGGGCCCUAAGGGAAGAUUACAAAGAUCAAAGAUUCACCUUCACUUUUAUAAAUCCAUAUAUGACAAAAGUCCAUGCAAGCAGAUGUGGUUUCCUGUUCCCCAGUUGUAAUCUGUCGGUUGUCUGCAGCCCUCUUUGAGAGGGACCCAAUUUUCAACCCCGUAUAAAUUAUUUGGUGGGCAAUGAAUGAAUCUUUUCCCACAUGCCAAACACUAAGACGUUGUCUCUCUUGUAUGGAUUCUUUGAUGGGAAUUGAGAUCACCACUCUGACGAAAGCUCUUUCCACAUUCCAAGCACUGAUAGGGUUUCUCCCGUAUUCGUUGAUGGGAAGUGAGCGUCCCCCUUUGACAGAAGCUCUUUCCACAUUCCAAGCACUGGUAGGGUUUCUCCCCUGUAUGAAUUCUUUGAUGGGAAGUGAGAUGACUCUUUCGAUUGAAGCUCUUUCCACACUCCAAGCACUGAUAGGGUUUCUCCCCUGUAUGAAUUCUUUGAUGGGAAGAGAGAUGGGUGCUUUGACUGAAGCUCUUUCCACACUCCAAGCACUGAUAGGGUUUCUCCCUGUAUGAAUUCUUUGGUGGGAAGUGAGUUCACCACUCACACGAAAGCUCUUCCCACAUUCGAAGCACUGAUAGGGUUUCUCCCCUUAUGAAUUCUUUGAUGGGAAGUGAGAUUGGCUCUUUCACUGAAGCUUUUCCCACAUUCGAAGCACUGAUAGGGUUUCUCCCCUGUAUGAAUUCUUCGGUGGGAAGUGAGACCGGUGCUAUGACUGAAGCAUUUUCCACAUUCCAAGCACUGAUAGGGUUUCUCCCCUGUAUGUAUUUGUUGAUGGGAAGUGAGCGUCGCCCUUUGACAGAAGCUCUUUCCACAUUCCAAGCACUGAUAGGGUUUUUCCCCUGUAUGAAUUCUUUGAUGAGAAGUGAGAUGACCCUUUCGAUUGAAGCUCUUUCCACAUUCCAAGCACUGAUAGGGUUUC
rnacentral:lncRNA from 1 species